rnacentral:rRNA from 1 species
CGGGAGGCGCUAGCCGACAGUGAAAUACCGCAACCGUCAACGUUGUUUUACUUACUCGGUUGGGCGGAGAGGGAUCUGAUCCCACUUCUGGGUCGAAGCGUGCGCUUGCGCUGCGCGAUCCGCGUCGGGGACACUAACAGGUGGGGAGUUUGGCUGGGGCGGCACGUCUGUUAAAAAAUAACGCAGGCGCCCGAUUUUGAGCUCAAUGAGAACAGAAAUCUCAUGUGGACCGAAAGGGGAAAAGCUCGGUUGAUUUUGAUUUUCAGUACGAAUACAAACCGCGAAAGCGUGGCCUAUCGAUCCUUUAGUCUUUGGGAAUUUCAAGCUAGAGGUGUCAGAAAAGUUACCACAGGGAUAACUGGCUUGUGGCUGCCAAGCGUUCAUAGCGACGUAGCUUUUUGAUCCUUCGAUGUCGGCUCUUCCUAUCACUGCCUCGCAGCAGGGGCCAAAUGUAGGAUUGUUCACCCACCAACAGGGAACGUGAGCUGGGUUUAGACCGUCGUGAGACAGGUUAGUUUUACCCUACUGCUGUCUGCUUUCGCACGGUAAUUUGGUUCAGUACGAGAGGAACCACCAAUUCGCACCAUCGGUAUAGCCGCCGCCGGAAACGGCGAUGCGGCGACGCUGCCAUGCGCCGGAUUAUAACUGAACGCCUCUAAGUUAGAAUCCAUGCCGGCACGAAAGCCUCCUUCCGGCCCGGGGACGCCACGAGCGACGGUAGCACCGCCUGAGCCGCGAGCGAUCACAAUUUCCGGACCCGGGCCGAUGAAUCCCUUGCAGACGACUUGAAUAAGGAACGGGGUAUUGUACGCGGCAGAGUGGCCUUGUUGCCACGAUCCGCUGAGAUUCAG